rnacentral:rRNA from 1 species
AGCGAACGCUGGCGGCAGGCCUAACACAUGCAAGUCGAACGAACCUUUCGGGGUUAGUGGCGGACGGGUGAGUAACACGUGGGAACGUGCCUUUAGGUUCGGAAUAACUCAGGGAAACUUGUGCUAAUACCGAAUGUGCCCUUCGGGGGAAAGAUUAAUCGCCUUUAGAGCGGCCCGCGUCUGAUUAGCUAGUUGGUUGAGGUAAUGGCUCACCAAGGCGACGAUCAGUAGCUGGUCUGAGAGGAUGAUCAGCCACAUUGGGACUGAGACACGGCCCAAACUCCUACGGGAGGCAGCAGUGGGGAAUCUUGCGCAAUGGGCGAAAGCCUGACGCAGCCAUGCCGCGUGAAUGAUGAAGGUCUUAGGAUUGUAAAAUUCUUUCACCGGGGACGAUAAUGACGGUACCCGGAGAAGAAGCCCCGGCUAACUUCGUC